rnacentral:rRNA from 1 species
UACGUAGGGGGCGAGCGUUGUCCGGAUUUAUUGGGCGUAAAGCGCAUGCAGGCGGUCCUGUAAGUUUGGAGUGACAGUUUCCGGCUCAACCGGGAAAGUGCUUUGAAAACUGCGGGACUUGAGGGCUUCAGAGGGACACGGAAUUCCGGGUGGAGUGGUGAAAUGCGUAGAUAUCCGGAGGAACACCGAAGGCGAAGGCAGUGUCCUGGGGAGCACCUGACGCUCAGAUGCGAAAGCCAGGGGAGCGAACGGGAUUAGAUACCCCGGUAGUCCUGGCCGUAAACGAUGACCACUAGAUGUGGGGGGUAUCGACCCCCUCCGUGUCGUAAGCUAACGCAAUAAGUGGUCCGCCUGGGGAGUACGGUCGCAAGAUUAAA